CACUUCUCCCUUCCACCAAACGGACUGCGACCACCUUCUGUUCUCUUCCUUCCAUAGUGGUCACCUUCGAGGCUUCCCUCGCCGUCGCCGGUCACUUUCGUGCUUCCCUCGCCGUCGCUGCUCACCUUCGACCCUUUCGUCGCCGUCGUCGACUCCGUCUUCUCUUUUGCUGUCCUGGUCAAAGGGAUGUGAAAAGCAACACCUGAGCAUGAAAAACAAAUUGAAGAAAAUAAAACACUGCACCAAACUAUGGUUGUGAAAUGAAAAUGAUGGGCCAUAUCAGUCAUAUUUGUAGACAUGGUUUUCAUUGGGAGCCAUAGCCAAUUGAUUGAUAGUGUGUGCACAAUUGUAGUCAAGGGUAGUUGGGGCAAUCUAUUGAAGGUGAAUAAGAAUUCCUCUGCUCUCACUUCUUCUACUAUUCACCAGGUACUUUUGCAGCUCUCACUAUAUGGUUAUGGGCUCUCUCAUUCCUUCCCAUUCUUCAAAUGGCUUGAUUCCAUCCCACAUUAUAACCAUUCCUUGCAAUGUUCAUGGGCCAUGAUUCACAUCCUCACUGAACAUAAGCAUUUCAAAACUGCACAACGUAUGCUUGAAAACAUUGCCGAUAAAGAUUUACUUUCAUCACCUUCAGUUUUGAGCACUUUAGUGAGGACUCAUGACAAGCCAGAAUUUAAUUCUCAAGUGUUGAGUUGGCUUGUCAUACAUUAUGCCAAGUCAAAGAUGACACAAGAUGCAAUUCAAGUUUUCGAGCAGAUGAGGUUACAUGAAGUCAAACCUCAUUUGCAUGCUUGUACUGUUCUUUUGAAUUCCUUGUUGAAGGAUGGGGUUACUCACAUGGUGUGGAAAAUAUACAAGAGAAUGGUUCAAGUUGGGGUUGUUCCCAAUAUGUACAUCUACAAUUGUUUAUUCCAUGCCUGUUCCAAAUCAGGAGAUCUGGAAAGGGCAGAACAAUUAUUAAAUGAGAUGGACGUAAAUGGUGUGCUUCCUGAUAUCUUCACAUACAAUACUUUGAUAUCAUUAUAUAGCAGGAAUGGUAUGCACUAUGAGGCUUUAUCAAUCCAGGAAAGAAUGGGAAGAGAUGGGAUAAACCUUGAUAUUGUUAGUUAUAACUCUCUUAUUUAUGGAUUUUGCAAAGAAGGUAGGAUGAGAGAAGCUAUGAGGAUGUUUAGCGAAAUAAAAAAUGCAACUCCCAAUCAUGUGACAUAUACUACACUAAUUGAUGGUUAUUGUAAAACAAAUGAACUGGAGCAAGCUCUGAAAAUGUGGGAACUGAUGGAGGCUAAGGGAUUGUACCCUGGAGUUGUUACUUAUAAUUCAAUUUUGCGUAAGCUGUGUCAAGAUGGCAGGAUAAGGGAUGCAAACAAACUCUUGAAUCAGAUGAAUGAAAGGAAAGUUCAAGCUGACAAUAUCACAUGCAACACACUUAUAAAUGCUUACUGCAAGAUUGGAGAUUUGAAAUCUGCUUUGAAAUUUAAGAACAAGAUGUUAGAAGCUGGACUAAAACCUGAUCCAUUUACAUAUAAGGCUCUGAUUCAUGGGUUCUGCAAGACGAAUGACCUGGAAAGCGCAAAGGAGUUAAUGUUCAACAUGCUUGAUGCUGGUUUUACCCCCAGUUAUUGCACAUACUCAUGGAUUGUAGAUGGAUACUCUAAGAAAGACAAUAUGGAUGUAGUUUUAGCAUUGCCAGAUGAGUUUCUGAGUAGAGGUCUUUGUCUUGAUGUUUCAGUAUACAGGGCCCUGAUAAGAAGGGCAUGCAAGGUAGAAAGGACUGAAUGUGCGGAAAAGUUAUUCAAUCAUAUGGAAGGAAAGGGUAUAUCAGGUGACAGUGUUAUCUACACCAGUCUUGCAUAUGCGUAUUGGAAAGUGGGGAACACAGGUGCUGCCUCAAGUAUGUUAGAAGAGAUGGCUAGGAGAAGGUUGAUGAUCACAGUCAAACUUUAUAGAUGCUUUAGUACUUCUGAUACUAGUGAAAACAAAGUGUUACAGAUCUUCUGGAAUCAUGUGGUGGAUAGGGGUCUGAUGUCGAGAAAUACAAUGAACAAGAUACAGCAGAUACUGAUGUGAUAAUAUUGCUUAUGAAAGAACCCUCACAUCUAGAAGAUUUUUCCUUGACUUGUUUGCAAGGGGAAAUACAUUGCUUCUGGUUAUCAGUGUCUUCCUUCAUGUUUUCACUUUUCAUUAGAAUUUUGGAAAAUCAUUGAGAAUUUGGGAAAAUAUGAUGGGGACCUUUUACAAACCUUACAUGUUAACUAUCAUAAAUCAUCUUGAUUUACAACCUAUUUAUGCAUCAUUCUUUUAAUAGAUAUGAUUCUUUAGUCCUUUUGGUAUGUGACCCGGAAAAAUCACUGCAGUUUUUCUUCUAAAAGGUUAUAUUAUAGAAGAACUUCAAUGAGUUCACCCUCCUUGUAUUUUCAGCUUAUUAGGAUAUGAAAGUGCAUAUCUUCUAUUUAUAUGUGACUAAGCCAUCAUGACUAAGUAGGAGCACGACAGGGCAGUUUAAUAAUUAUUUGGGCUUGGAAUUAAUUUAUGGACUUCAAGUGGAGUUGCCACGUCAUUUGCCACGUCAUCUGCCAUGUCACUGCUGCACCAUUUUCCACCUCAGCAUUCAUUUUUAGUUUGUAGGCUAUUUUAUUGAACUUGGUCAAACUUGUAUUUUAUUUGGGCCCAAUUUCAUUUUUUUAGGUCAUAGGCUAGGGUAGGGCUGACUAGGCAGCCACUAAAUGAAGGGGCUGAGGUGACUACGUGAACAGUAGCCUCCUCUCUCAUUUUUACGUUUUUGUAUUCACGUUUUAUUUUCUCUGUAGCUACAAUUCACGUUUUGGGCUCUCCAUUCCUUUUUGUUUCUGGUUGAACUUCUGAAACUUCAUUGUUAUUCACGUUUUUCUUGCUC